rnacentral:misc_RNA from 1 species
GAUGAAGAACGCAGUGAAAUGCGAUAAGUAAUGUGAAUUGCAGAAUUCAGUGAAUCAUCGAAUCUUUGAACGCACAUUGCGCCCCUUGGUAUUCCGGGGGGCAUGCCUGUUCGAGCGUCAUUAUAACCCUCAAGCCUAGCUUGGUGUUGGAGCAUGCUAUCUAGCAGCUCUUAAAAUCAGUGGCAGUGCCCUUCGGCUCUAAGCGUAGUAACUUCUCUCGCUAUGGAAACCGGAUGGUACGCGCCAAAACCCCCAACUUUCUAUGGUUGACCUCGGAUCAGGUAGGGAUACCCGCUGAACUUAAGCAUAUCAAUAAGCGGAGGA